CGCCGUAAUACGUAGGGGCAGCGUGUCGAUAUGGCGUAAGAGCUCGUAGCGCUGUCGCGUCGUGUGAAGCCGGGCUACUCGGUCUGCAGUCGAUACGGGCAGCUAGAGUUCGUAGGGAGAUCGAUCCUGGUGUAGCGUGAAAUGCGCAGAUAUCAGGAGGAACACCGGUGGCGAAGGCGGAUCUCUGGGCCGAUACUGACGCUGAGGAGCGAAAGCGUGGGGAGCGAACAGGAUUAGAUACCCUGGUAGUCCACGCCGUAAACGGCGGGCACUAGGUGUGGGCAGCAUUCCACGUUGUCCGUGCCGUAGCUAACGCAUUAAGUGCCCCGCCUGGGGAGUACGGCCGCAAGGCUAAAACUCAAAGGAAUUGACGGGGGCCCGCACAAGCGGCGGAGCAUGUGGCUUAAUUCGACGCAACGCGAAGAACCUUACCAAGGCUUGACAUACACCGGAAACAUCCAGAGAUGGGUGCCCCCUUGUGGUCGGUGUACAGGUGGUGCAUGGCUGUCGUCGGCUCGUGUCGUGAGAUGUUGGGUUAAGUCCCGCAACGAGCGCAACCCUUGUCCCGUGUUGCCAGCAGGCCCUUGUGGUGCUGGGGACUCACGGGAGACCGCCGGGGUCAACUCGGAGGAAGGUGGGGACGACGUCAAGUCAUCAUGCCCCUUAUGUCUUGGGCUGCACACGUGCUACAAUGGCCGGUACAAAGAGCUGCGAUACCGUGAGGUGGAGCGAAUCUCAAAAAGCCGGUCUCAGUUCGGAUUGGGGUCUGCAACUCGACCCCAUGAAGUCGGAGUCGCUAGUAGUCGCAGAUCAGCAUUGCUGCGGUGAAUACGUUCCCGGCCUUGCACUCACCGCCCGUC
rnacentral:rRNA from 1 species